CUAAAUAUCCAUCUCCAACUUGCACCUAAAUCUCUUA
rnacentral:sRNA from 1 species